rnacentral:rRNA from 1 species
UACGUAGGGUGCGAGCGUUGUCCGGAAUUAUUGGGCGUAAAGGGCUCGUAGGCGGUCUGUUGCGUCAGGAGUGAAAACUCGGGGCUUAACCCCGAGCCUGCUUCUGAUACGGGCAGACUAGAGGUAUGCAGGGGAGAACGGAAUUCCUGGUGUAGCGGUGAAAUGCGCAGAUAUCAGGAGGAACACCGGUGGCGAAGGCGGCAUCCUGGACCGACAUUGACGCUGAUGAGCGAAAGCUAGGGGAGCAAACGGG